rnacentral:tRNA from 1 species
AUCUUGUUGGUCAAAUGGUAAGACAAUGCUCUGCAACAGCAUGAAUACAGGUUCGAUCCCUGUACAAGAAC